UUUAAUUGUUUCUGAUUGAAAUCAAUAAUUUCUCAGUCAUUAUUAAUAAGAACUACAUGUGCAUGGAUUGCCUGUUGGAUUGAUGUUUGUUUACGAAAAAAAUUCUCUCAAGUUAAUAUCGAACUUCGAACUUAUAAAGUGUUAAGCAGCAAUUACAAUAAAAGUGCUUGCUGUGGAAUCACUGGUGCUGCUCAUUAUUGUCAACUGUUACUUAAAAAGGUUAUGCCAUGCAUUAAAUUAGGAAGAUUUGUGUUGGAUGAAUUACCCAGAUAACAAUUAAAACAACUUCUAU